AUUGCUUCUCAGCCUUUUGGCUAAGAUCAAAUGUAGUAUGUGUUUCUAUCAGUUUGAUAUCUUAUAUAAGUCCUCUAUCCUAGGACAAUAUAUUAAAUGGAUUUUUGGAGCUGGGAGUCAGAACAGGAGCUUACUCUGUCCACUCUACACAUCGACUGAUAUUGCAGUACAUCUAUGAACAGUGCACCCUUC